ensembl:lncRNA
UCGACAUGGGAGAGCAGCUGUCCCCUGUACAGAAGACGGAGCUCGAAACCCUGAGUCGUUGUGUGACAGCGGCCUUACCGGGUGCCAGAGGCUCGCCGGACGGCCAUAGAGGAGGAAGUAUAAAGGAGCUCAGUCAUCGAGCCCUCCCAAAGCCCUUGGUCCAGCCCGGUGGUGAUGGUACCAAAAUCGGACAGCACACUCCGGUUUUGUAACGACUUCCGAUGCCUUAACGAAGUCUCUGUGUUAGACAGCUACCCAUGCCCCGAGUGGAUGAACUCCUUGACCGGUUGGGGAGGGCUCGCUUCAUCUCAACUCUGGACCUCACCAAGGGGUACUGGCAGGUCCCCCCUCUCGCUGGAGUCUCUGGAAACAACGGCCUUCAGCACUCCCAGUAGCCACUGGCACUACCGGGCGCCCGCCACCUUCCAGAGGAUGAUGGACGUCCUGUUGCGACCACACCAGGCGUACGCUGCCGCCUACCUGGACGACCACCAC